UAAACUGGGAUUAGAUACCCCACUAUGCUUGGCCCUAAACCUAAAUAAUUAAAUAACAAAACUAUUUGCCAGAGAACUACUAGCCACCGCUUAAAACUCAAAGGACUUGGCGGUACUUUAUAUCCGUCUAGAGGAGCCUGUUCUAUAAUCGAUAAACCCCGCUAUACCUCACCAUCUCUUGCUAAUUCAGCCUAUAUACCGCCAUCUUCAGCAAACCCUAAAAAGGUACUAAAGUAAGCGCAAGAACAAACAUAAAAACGUUAGGUCAAGGUGUAGCCAAUGAGAUGGGAAGAAAUGGGCUACAUUUUCUUUUCAAAGAACAUCACGAAACCCUUUAUGAAACUAAAGGAUAAAGGAGGAUUUAGCAGUAAAUUAAGAAUAGAGUGCUUAAUUGAACAGAGCAAUGAAGUACGU
rnacentral:rRNA from 1 species